rnacentral:misc_RNA from 1 species
AUAGUUAAUAGAGGAUUAGACGACUGCAAGUUAGCUGAGUUGAGAAAAAAAAAGUGAAGCUGUGAAGAAAAAGUAAUUUGUUUGGAGAUUACGUACAGGUGGAGUGAAUCUGGCAUUUAAACAAUGUUUGGAGGACCUCCUGUUAUAAGUGUACAUGAACAGGGAAAACGUUUUACUAUCAUACUUCUUAAUCUAGUGAUUUUUAAACAUGGAUUGUAAAAGUGAUUUACUAUAGACAUAAUGCAAAAAAAAGGAAAAGACAUUUUUAUUCCAGGGUACAUAUUACCUAUUAAUUCAAAUACUUCCAUGGAUAGAUCAAUGACUUUGUUGCAUAAAAAACGCCCUAUCGAUGAAGAAGACGUUAUAACAGAUGUAUCUGAAAUAACAAAUGAAAUCAAUAAAAUAAGCCAAAGCUUGGAAAAUCCAGAAGUAGGACUAAAAGACGCAACUCGAUUACUCAAAGAAAUAGAUGAGCAAAUGGAGAUGUCAUUUGAAAUUAUGGAAGAGCGUCAAAAUAUGGUGCGUUCGUAUUUAAUAGAGCGUGAAAAAGAAGAAAGAUCGUACAAAAAUAGAGCAGAUAAAAUAAUGGCGGAUUUCGCAAAUAAAAUGGAUAAGUUAGACGUAAUCACAAGUCAAAUACCAAUAAAAAUUCCUAUAUGUAAAGCUUCUCAACAACCAUAUCACGCUUACAGUAAGCUAAACAAAUUCUCACAAACUGCCAAAAUUUCAGUGGUUGAUGAGGAAAUUCAAAUUACAGCUGAAUUUUUUGAAGAAAAAAGUUUAAAAGAAGUUGUCGAGGUCCUAACCGCGGAGUUACAAGAAGUAUACAAUCGCCAAAUAAAUUGCGAAAAAAAAAAGAAACAUCCGAAGCAAAAGAAGAAAAAUUAUGAUAUUAAGCCACUUAGUUUCUUUGAAUUCGAGUCGUUGAUGUUAGAGGCACGUGAUGUGACACGUGACGUUAAUGCGGAAGAACAAGUUGAAAUAUUUGUAAAUGAAGAAAUUUUAAAUGAAAAGAACGAGGAGUUUAAAGUUGAGAUGGAGAGAGAGAAAAAAGCCAUCUGUAAGUUCUUUGUUAACAAUGAAGAUCAAGGCUUACAAAUAAAAAAUGACGAUUUAAUAUUUAAACUUAACGAAUCCAAAAAAAUAUUUAACAAAAAAAUCAAAGAAAAAAUGUAUAUGAGCCAACAUGAAGAUUACAAAAAAAUGAAUGAAUUAAGAGAGUCUUGUAGACGUUUAGACGCAGCUGAAGCAAAUUUUUUUCAAAAAAUAACUAAAUUAGCAAGCAAAUUCACCUUAGACGAAGAUGUGUUAAAAAAUUUUGCCCAACAACUUGCCCAAAAAAAAGAUGAACAAAGAAACAUUUACAUAGAUCAGUUUAUUGGCGAUUUAAAAAUUAAUAAUGAAAAAGACGAAAACUAUAUGUUAGAAAAUCAUUUCAAAGAGCUUUGCUUUUUGUAUGAAGAAAUGAAACAUAACGAGAAAGAGCUUAAUAGCUUACUUUUUUUAAAGUUUACGGAUAAAAAUAGAGAAACGCUUAGAAACUGUUUAAUAAAUAUGAAAAAUUUUCUUUCAGUAGAGCAAGAUUCUGAGUCAGACUCAGGAAUUGAAAAUCCAGUGUUAAGUACUUACGCUAAUUUUAAUGGUAGUACCCACAGAUUGCAAGAUAGCGGAGAUCAUAGUGAAACUUUUUGUAAAAAAGUUGGAAAAAAUCUUGUUGAAGACAUUUUCAAAUCAAAACUUUCAUCUUCCAAAGUUUGCGAUAUAAUACAUUACCAGGGCAAGUUUAUAGAAGACAUACUUCAAGACUACUCAGAUGAAAUGGAAAAAGUAGAAGAAAACCUUUAUCAAGUAAGCGCAAUUAACGAAGUUAAUAAAGUUUUGUUGACGCAUGAUGUUACAAAAGAAUCCGCUGACACACUAAAACGUGAACUUAUAAAUGCCAGCAGUGAACUGAGUUUAGUAACAGCGUUAAAAGAAAAUCAAAAAACACAACUCGAAACCUUAAAAAAUAAAAAAGACGAAAAACAGACACAAAACAGAAAGGUUUUUAAAAACAAAAAUAAACUGCGUCUAAGUUUAAAAGCUCUUAAUAAAACCAUUGCUGGCAAGCUUCUUGCAGAGAAGAGGAGAACAACUUCCGAAGUCAAAGCCAAUGUCAGCCAACUGCAAAAGGAAAACGACAUUUUAGACAGCGCAUCAAAAGACAAUGUUUCUAAAAUACCUGACAUUAGCGAGAAUAAUGCCAAAAUUUAUGAAAAUAGCGGAGAUAUUGUUAAAAACAAUAAAAAUGAAGAGGUUUAUAGAUUAAAAAAUGAUUUAAAUAAGUUAUCUUUUUAUGUGGAUCUUAAAGAUUCAAAAGAAUGUUAUUUACAAAAGGAAGAACCUUUAAAUAGCAGUUUUGCUUUCAAUCAAGUUCAAAAAGUUCCUUCAUCCACAGAAGUUGAAAGAAUUGUCGAACAAAAGCUAAAGCUUUCAGAAAUGCUGGUAAAAACCGAAGCAAAAAUUAAUAAACUUUUGAUUCAAUCAAGUAAGUUUCCUUCCAUGAAUGAAAGUUCUCAAUUAAUAGAAAACAGCUCACUCGGCUCAGCAAUUAAUAAUAAACUACAACUCGUUAAAAAGCUAACAUCUCUUGAGAAUCAACUUAGCAGCAUUAACUACGAAAUUUCUUGCGAGAAAACUAAUUUUUCCCUUAGUAAAGCAAAGAAAGAGCUUUCUUCAAUUAAGAGAGAGAUUGCGCGUAUUAGAAAAAAACUAAGAGAAAAGCAAUUUUCUCAAAAUAAAACCAUCAGUAAAAAACAGACACAUGAUACAAAAUUGGGAUUGGUCAAAAAUUACAGCAAUGAAAUAAUUCGUGAUGCAAUGCGAGAACUUCUUCAAGAAAAGGAGAGUACAGAAAAUAUAAUUCUGCAUCUUAAUAAAGAUUUAGAAAAUCUUAAAGAAAUUGACUCAAAGAUGAGUCAGUACAAAACAUGCGAAGAAAAACUUGUAUCUGUAGAAAAAGAUCUGUUAAAAAAAAAAGAAGAUUGCGUCAUUAAAAUGGUUGCUAUGGCAAAAGAUGAUCAUCAUUAUUUUAUCGAAUCACUAAAAGGAGAAAUUAAAACAAAAAUAAAUUGUAUGGAAAAAGAAACUCAAAAGUUAACCAUAAUAGAAAAGGAGAAACUCCGAAAUGAACUUCGUGAUAUAAUAAACGACAUGAAACAAACUCGCGAACAACUAAAAGAAAUUCACCAGUUUCAGAAAAUGGGUCAUACCAAAGAUAACACUUUGCUCACAAUAUUAUCGGAGAAAAAAAAAGAAUUGUCCGAAACAUUGAAUGAAGUUAAUUUGACGUUAGAUAAAGAAACCCUAUCACAAGACCAUGAACACUCGGUCGUUUCAAAAUUAAUUCAAAAAAAAGAGGGAAUUAUGUUUCAACUGGAAGAUCUUAAAGAACGUAUUAAUAAUCAAGAAGAGGUUUUAAAAUUACGCUACAAAAAGUUGCUCGAGGUUAAAAAUGAACUUGAAUCAAAAUUACUUGAUGGGAUGAGCGAAAGCGAACUCCAUUUGAUUAUUUCUGAAAUUGAAAAUCCUUUAGGCAGUGAUUACAAAUUGACAAAUUUGUUUAAAGAAAAAAAACAGGUUCAAGACGAAAUCACAAAAUUGUUAAAUGUAAGCCCAUUAAACAAAGCAGCACUGCAAGAAGCUUCAAAAACUCAUGAAAAUAUUGAUACUUUAAUUUGUACACGUUUGGAUGAAAUGAUGGUCAGUUUACAUGUGGACGAUUCUUUGGAAGACAAUCACAACUUAAAAUGUACCCUUUUAUUAAAUCCUGAACUUUUUUUUGGAAUUGUUCAACAUAAAAAAGACCUCGAAAAUACACUACAGUUUGUAUUGUCUGACAAAGAGUUUAAAGAAAAAAUUUCUGACGAAACUUUGGUUCUUGGUGCGCAAGAAAUUCGGCAACUUGAAGAUAUUAAACUUAUUUUGGACGAUUUUCAUAACCGGAAUAUAGAACCUAACCAUAUGACGGAUAUUAUUCGCUUUAAAUCUUUGAACUACGAGAAAAUUGAACGGUUAGAUGAAAAAAUCAAAAAAUUAACUGCUGUUCUGGAUAAUCAAAAAACACAAAAUAGCAGCUUUGCACCUAACAUGUUUACAGUAAAAAAUGAAGACAUAUUUAGCAAAACAGAAAUUCAAAAUUUAACAAACAAAAACAAUAAUAAAAAAAAUUUAUUAUCGAAUUUGCCACCGACUGAUAAUAUUUCAAAUCUUCUUCUCGUUCGUGAUGACCUUCUAAACUUACUGUUUUGUGUUGAAAAAAAACUUGAAAGAAAAUGUUUAUCAACUGACGAAUUAAAAGAGUUGUGUUCAGAGAAAGCAAAACUCGAAAAGGAGAUAGACGAAAUUGAACAAAAAGUAUUGAAUGGAGAUUUUAUUAUCCCAAACAACGAUCUCGAGUUUCAAUUGUCAAGUCGAAGUUUUUCACCAAAAAGUACUUCGAGUCAAGCUAGUCUUUCUGAUAUUCAUACCGAAAGAGAACAGUUUACAAAAAACUUAUUUAAUAUAAAAAUGAAGGAAAAUGAAUCGGUCUCUAUAACGAACUGGGCAUUGCAAACAAAAGAAGAACUGAAAAGUGAUUGGGGUGAAAUUUCAACAAACAAAGAUAAAGAAACAAUUCAAAAAAAAUCUGACGUUGACAUUGAGUUAAACGAACAUUUUGUAGAUAACGACGUCACCUUAGUGAUCGACCACAGCAAAGAUUGCUUAGAGAUGUUAUCUGACGAUAACGAUGAAGUCGAACCUGUUCAAAAAAUGGAUAUUUUAACAUUACAUGAACAAUCAAUGGUAAAAACCAAUUUGUCUGCUAAAAAAAUUUCAAGCACCUCACAAAGUAUUCUUAUUGAUGAGUUUUUCUCUUCAUUAAGCAACACAGACGACGAGAACUGUAUCGAGAACUGUAUCGAGAAUUGUAUCGAGAAUUGUAUCGAAAACAUAAAAAAAAACGAAAACGAUUCUUUUGUACCAAUUUGUGUUGAAAAGUUACAAUUAAGAGUUUUAGAAAAAAAUAAAAAAGAAAUCGAAAGCCAAAUUAAAGCUCUCAAAAACCAGAACGAUUCUAAAAAAAUUGAAAUGCAUAGCAAGCCAAAGCUUGUAAGCGCAGAAGUAAACUCUCAAUUGAUACUUGAAAAAUGUCGACUAGAAAAUGAAAUUGAAAGCACACGGAAAAAAAUUGAGGAAAAUGAAAUUUUUGUGCGAAAAAUUGAAGCUCUGACUGACCUAGAGUUUCUAAAAAUUGAACAAGAAUUUACGCUUGAAGAACAUAAAGAAAACAAAGUGUCUUUAGAAUUACAAAUUUCCAUUAUAAAUAGUUUAAUAAAAAACUAUGCAUGCGUUAUUAAAAAUGAAAUACUUCAUUUAGAAAACGAUAGCAUCGAAAAAAAACUCAAUUCCAAUUUUAUAAACGAAAAUACAAAUGCAUUAAAGUGUUCUGAAGAUCAUAUCGAAGAAUUUUGCCAACAGAAAAAUGAGCUGAAUGCAGAAAUAAAAACUCCCUUAAAAGAGUUGCUAAAAGAAAGACAAACUUUAGUAAGCAAACUCGAAAAUAUCGAAAAAGAAGUUAAAAACAUUGAAAGUAGUACGGAACUGCAAGAAAUUACAAAGGAUAUCAGAGAAUCGUUUAAAGCUUACAAAGAAACGAUUAAAAAAGAAAAAUUUUUGCAAGCAAAAAUAACAGUUUUUGAAAAAAAAAUUGCGGAUAUUUUAGAAGAAAUUCAAUGUAACGUCGACGUCGAUUGUAAUGAGCUUUGCAGAAAAACGGAGAAUGAAAACGAAGAACAUCUUUACAAAACAAUAAAUAAUUUAAAAACAGAAAAUGCAAGGUUAGAGCUUGAACUAAAAAACUUUAGAGAGCAGUUCGAAAAUAUGGAUGAACUUAAAAAAGAAAUAUUAAAGUAUAAAGUAGAAGCAGAAGCAGAUAGAAAUUCUGCGCUCCUACUUUAUAAAGAAAACAAUGAAGUCAAAUCUCAGUUAGAAAUAUUCAGAAACCAUCUUGAAGAAAAUAAAGAAUACAAAGAGAAACUUCAAAAAGAAGUAGCCGAGCAGAUAGACAUGAACAACUACUUAUUAGAGGAGAAUAAGCUUUUCAAAGUGGAACUAAACCAUUUAACAAGCCUCAUACAACAAGAAAAAGAGAAAAAUAUUUCAACGAACGAUGCAGCCAUUCAAACAAAUGAUUUUAAUGAUGAAAAUGAAAAAAUGAAAAUUGAAAUAGAAAACAAAGAGCUAUUAAGUUUAAAUGAAAGGUUAGAAAUGAAAGUAAAAGAAUUAGAAGAAAACCUUCGGCUUAGAGACAAAAAUAGUGCCAAAAAAAAUAAAAAAUUAGACCCACAAAAAUUAACUACAUUAGAGGAAUCCAUAAACAAUGAAAAAACAGAUGAUCAAAGAACAGUUGCACCAGAUAGUUACAUCAUGGUUACAGCAGCCGACGUUUGUGUAUCUUCUGCAACGAAUAAUGUUGUGCCAGCAGAUAUAGUAUUAAAAAUGUCGGAACAAAACAGUUUAAUAAAAUUCUUAAAUCAAGAAAAAGAAGAGCUAAGUGAAUAUUUAAAUCAACUGGAAUGUGAUUAUGCUAAAAAUAUAAAUCUUUUAGAUUCAACCUCCACUCAUUUGCGCGAGUUGAAGAGAAUGUUAGGCUUAAACUUAUUUAACUUGCUUGUAAAUAACGGAGAUAAUGAAAUAAGUAGAGCUAAUGGGUAUUGUGAAGAUGAAGCAAUAAACAACGAGAAAAAUACAGAACAAAUUGAAAUUCUUUUGCAACAAAAUUUAACAAUCGAAAACCUUUUACAUCGACUUUUACUAGAAGUUGAAACAAAAACCGAUGAAGAAAUUUGUAACUUUGAAGAAGAAAUUUUAUUAAAAAAUGCUGAUAUACUGACCAUGGAAAACAACUUGUUCGAAGCAAAAGAUUAUAUAAAGAAACUUGAAAUAAAAAUCGAUGUUAUGGAAAAGCAAUCAAUUCAACUCCAUGAAGAAUCGGAGAAUCGAAACGCAAUUGAAAAAGACGCAUAUAUUAAAAUAAUUAAUGAUCUAGAAAAUAAUUUAAACUUGGUCUCUGAAGCUAAAAAGUUCGUAGAGGAAGCCUCAGUUAAAGAUUGUGAAAAAAUUAGUUUGUUAAAUUACGAAAACAAUACGUUAAAGCAAAGAAAUUUUUAUUUAGAGGAGAAAUUAGAUUUGAUACAAAAAAAAGAGAAAAAAUUAUGUUCUGAGAUAGAGCAGCUGCACGAAGAUCUUCAAAACUCAGAAAAAAAGAUUGUAGAAAUUACAGUUGAAAUCAAAAAAGUUAAUGAAGACUAUUUAAAACUUCAAGAUAAACUAAGUGAACAAAUAACCAAACACAAACAAUUGAGGAAUGAAACCUCCGGAAACUCUAAAAUUGAAAUGGUUUUGCCGAAGAAAGAAGUUGCUCUUCAAACACAGAAUAGCAAUGACACAGUUCAGUUAGAAAACACAUUUAAUGGAAUGGAACAAUACAAACAAGACGAUACUGCCUUAAACAAAACAUUAGAUCAAAACAAACUUCUUUCAUUGGAUGAAUCAACCACUAACAUGCAACAAGAUAAUUUUAAAGCAGAAGAUCUUGUUUCAAAAAUUUCUGAGCAAAAAUGUUUUAUAGAAAAUUUAUUAUUAGAAAAAGAGCAGCUAAUUCAAAACUUACAUCAACUUGAAGAUGACCAAGCAGCGAUAAACACUCGGUUAGACUUUAAUACCACAAUUUUGCGCCAACUAAAACAAAUAUUAGGGUGGAAUUUGUAUUAUGUGCUUACUAAAGAUAAACAAAAAAGUAAUGAAAAAGAUAAAUAUAUGGAACAAAUUGAAGUUCUUUUAGAACAAAAGUCAACUAUAGAAGAAGUUUUGCACCUCCUUCUAAUAGAAGUUGAAACAAGAUCCGCCGAAACCAUUCAGAUAAGCAAUUUAGAAGCUGAGAUUCAGUUAAAAAACGCCAAAAUACAUUCAACUGAAUGUAGUUUGUACGAAACCAAAGAAUUAAUAAAAAAUCUUGAAAUAAAAAACGAGACUUUGGAAAAACAUUUAACGCAGCUCAAUGAUAGAGUAGAGUAUCAAAAUGCAAAAGAAAAAGACGUUUAUAUCAAAAUGAUUGAUGGCCUAGAAAAGCAGCUUAGAAUGCUUUCCGCAACUAACGAGUCCAUGGAAGAAACAUCAGCUAGAGAUCACGAUAAAAUAAAUCAGCUUAACCAUGAAAAUAAAAUGUUGACAUUAAACAACCUUAGUUUAAGCGAGCAAGUAGAAUCGUUGAAAAAGAAAGAAGAAAAUCUAUAUUCCGAUAUACAACGGAUGCGUAAUGAUAUCCAAAGUUUGGAAAAUAAAAAAAACAAAACUGCAGAAGAGCUGUUUAAACUUCAGGAGAAGUUAAAAGAAAUAUCAGACGAAAACAAACUUUUAAGAAGUCAAGUAAGUUCUGCUGAAAACGCCGACGAAUCAGCAAAAUCAAUUGUAAGAAAACUAUCCGUUGAAAUGAAAAAAGUUAAGUUGGAACUAGCUGAUUCAGCAGCUGAUAUUAAUAGCUUGGCACAAGAAAAUCAGCAGUUAAAAAUCAAUAAUGACAAUUUGUGUAAAAAAAUUCAGCAUUUGCAUAAAAGCAAAAGUGAUCUCCAAAGUCGUAUUGAUGAACAGAACAAAAACCUAGAUGCCUUGCGCGAGGAAGUUUUAGUACUUAAAGAAAGUGGAAAAGAACUCAAGUUUGAAUUAAGAGAUAAAAAUGAUAUUGUCGAAGAAAAAGAGAGGGCAAUUGCUAAAUUAGAUAAAACAGUUCAAGAUACAGAAAAAAAGAUUGAAAUGAUGCGCCAAGAACUUGUUGAAUCUAAGUUAACACAUCAAAAUUUAUUAUCAAAACAUCAAGAUGAGUGCGACCGACUAAAAAAUGAACUAAGAGUAGAAAAAUCAAUGGCAGAAGAAAUGAGAGCGGAAAUCGGAAUGUUGACAAGAUUAAAAGAAGAGUCUGACACUAUUGAAAAAAAUCUUAAAAACCAAAACGCUGAAAACAAAAGAGAGCAGCUACAACGCGAAAGUGAACUGUUGAUAAACCUUGAAUUGGAAAAAAAAAGAAACCAAGAGUUAAAGGAUUCAUUAGAAGACUAUUUAAGAAAAAACGCAAGGCAAGAAGCAAAAAUAUUAACCUUAAAAGAAGAAAAUGAUAACUUGAUGGAGAAGAUCAACAACUUGGACGAAAAGUACGAAGAUGAGCUAACUGAUCUCAGAAAAACAAUGAACGAAAGCUUCAACGCAAACGUUGAUAAUUUAAAUAAAAAACUACGAAAAAUGGCAUCCGAUUUUAUGCAGUUAGAUCAAAUCAAUGAAUCACUUAAAAAUGACUCUAAAAAGUUAACAAUCGACAACGAGGAACUUUUAAACCGUUUAAACACACAAAAUUUAAUGCAUAAAGAAAUUCAGGCUUUAGAUAAAGCUAAAAUUGCUUCUCUUACAACUGAAAUAGAAGGGUUGCGUCUCGAAAACAACGACAUCAAAGAAAAAAUGGAUGAAAUAAGGGUAUGCCUUAAAAAUUAUGAAGCCUUAAAUAUAAGAGAACAAGAACUGAGCGAAAGGGAAUUAAUACUUAAAAGUGCCUGUCAACAACUAGAAGAGGAAAAAUCCCAGUUCACUGAAACUAUUGAAAAACAACUAAAAAAAUUUCAGCACGAAAAAAUUACUCAAGAGGAUAUUGAAAAAAGAAACAAAGAUAGCCUUUCACUUAGGAUGCUUGCUUCUUGCCAAGAUCAACGUGAUAAACUAAGUGAAGAUUUAGCGAAGAUAAAAUACGAAUUAAAUAAUACAAAAAUGGAGCUACGAAAAGCAAACUUAACUAUUCGAGAAAAAGAGCAGUUUUAUGCUUCCGAAGAAAAAAUGUUGAUUAAAAAAUAUGAAGAAGAAAUUCAAUCGAAAAUUGAAGAAAUUAAAAAAAAUGCUUCAAAUGAUAGAGCUUUGUUAAUAAAAACACAAAAUGAAGAAAGAUUGAGAUGGGAGGAAGAAAUGAAGCUAUUGUCUUCUGAUCUACACGAAGAAAGUUUAAGAAAACUUGCUGAACAGAAAGUUGAUUUUGAAAAGGAAUUACAGGAUCAAAUCUUCAAAUUUUUACAUGAAAACUCAGAUGAAAUUACAGAACUCAUUGCAAAAAAUGAACAGCUUCAAAACGAAAAGAAAAAUCUUGAAAAACAAAUGAAUGAAGAGAAGCUAGCCAUGAUUCAAGAGCACGCUCGACAACACUUUGUCUGGGAAGAUACGGUGAGAAGGUUAUUAACAAGUUUAAUACAGUUAAAAGAAAAACAAUGCACUUCUGUUGCUACGAUUGCUUUGGAGUGGGUUUAGAGGGUACUUUAGAGGGCUCCUAAUUGAGACUGUAAGAGACUGUAGGCUUAACUGCAUAAAAGUUGCGUUACAAACACCAGAACGAAAUCACUGAACUUGAAAAUAAAAUUACUACUGAAAAAGAACGUCUUGAAUGGAGAUAUUCCCAGGAGGUAGACUUUCUAAAAGAAAAUUUGCACAAUAUAUAUGCUAGUACAAUCAAUA